rnacentral:lncRNA from 1 species
CCGCUGCUUGCCGGGUCCCGGCCCGGCGACGCGCGCUCACACCCUCCUCCCGAGCCGCCCUCACGCCGAGCGCUGCGGACGGGGGCGCGCAACCUGCCGCCGGCCGGGACCCUGCGGCGAGUGCCGGAACCCGGCCGGGCGGGGCCUCCCGCGGCCCGGCCGCUUUAUUGGGUCACCGGCCUCGCCCACCGCCCUGCCAGCCGCAGCCAUCUCGGCGGGCGCGCCGCUCGCAGCCAGCGCCCCAUCCCCAGGCCUGCACGUACGUCGUCGGCGAUCCGGGGCCGGGGGCGGCUCCGAGGUCGUCGGGGCCGGGGUCCCACCUCCUCUUGGAGGAAGCGCCGCCUCCCCACCCGCCCGGGGCCCUCGCCAAGUGGCUGCUAACAAAGCCCAGGGCCCGGCUGCGGGAUGGUUGACUGACAAAGUCAUGCCUGCCUAGCCAGCUUCCUCGUGCAGCACGGUGAAGGCUGGGGCGCCGGGUUUUUACUCCCACGUCCUGCCAACUCGAGCUGACAAGGCGGGCAAUCCACCAGCGGGAGCGUUGGCAGGCCCGGGGUCAGAUCCUGAUUCAGCCAGUUAAUUGGAGCUGAACACUGCCCCGAGAAUGCAACAGAACUUCAGCUCUGUCCCAAGGUCGUCAGCCACAGCUCCAAGUUUCUUAGCAUCAGCUUUUUCUGAACAAAAUAGUGCAUCCUGCUGGAAUCACUACUGUAAACUGAGUAUAAAGGAAAAUAAACCCUCUUUUUCUUAUCCACUAUGUUCCCUACUCCCGUGCUUUUCCCAGUGCUCCAGGUUAGUAGAGGCAAAAGAAUUCCCCACUGAUGAGGUACUACAUCCUACACAAUUUGUUCCACACAUUUUAAUUUCAUUAAGAGAAAACAAAGAUGUUUAAACAGUGAGCACUAAAUGGAUUAGAGUGGCAGUAGUAAAUUUCCUUUGUGCCUUUCUCUUAGAAUUUAGAAAGCUUUAGUUGCAAUCCC